rnacentral:rRNA from 1 species
UCUUUUCCUUUUGUGCCCGCCGCCGCGGUAAUACGUAGGGGGCGAGCGUUAUCCGGAUUCAUUGGGCGUAAAGCGCGCGUAGGCGGCCCGGCAGGCCGGGGGUCGAAGCGGGGGGCUCAACCCCCCGAAGCCCCCGGAACCUCCGCGGCUUGGGUCCGGUAGGGGAGGGUGGAACACCCGGUGUAGCGGUGGAAUGCGCAGAUAUCGGGUGGAACACCGGUGGCGAAGGCGGCCCUCUGGGCCGAGACCGACGCUGAGGCGCGAAAGCUGGGGGAGCGAACAGG